rnacentral:sRNA from 1 species
AUUAUUAAUAUUUAAACUUAUAAAAAGUUUGAUAUAUUACAAUUUUUUAACAUCAUUAUAUAAUAUAUAGAGUUUAAAAAAUCUUAAUUUUUUCCGUCAUAUUUUAUGAUUCAAAAUUUUAAAAUUGAACAUAUAUUAACCAAUUAGCAAAAAAUGUGUGGGUUCAACGUCCCGCAUCGACAAAAAUAUUUAGAA